GAUGAACGCUGGCGGCGUGCCUAAUACAUGCAAGUCGAGCGAACGGACGAGAAGCUUGCUUCUCUGAUGUUAGCGGCGGACGGGUGUGUAACACGUGGAUACCCUACCUAUAAGACUGGGAUAACUUCGGGAAACCGGAGCUAAUACCGUAUAAUCUUUUGAACCGCAUGGUUCAAUAGUGAAAGACGGUCUUGCUGUCACUUAUAGAUGGAUCCGCGCUGCAUUAGCUAGUUGGUAAGGUAACGGCUUACCAAGGCGACGAUGCAUAGCCGACCUGAGAGGGUGGUCGGCCACACGGGAACUGGAACACGGUCAAGACGCCUAAGGGAGGCAGCAGUAGGGAAUCUUCCGCAGUGGGCGAAAGCAUGACGGAGCAACGCCGAGUGAGUGAUGGAGGUGUUCGGAUCGUAAAACUCUGUUAUGAGGGAAGAACAGAUGUGUAAGGAACUGUGCAGAUCUUGACGGUACCUAAUCAGAAAGCAACGGCUAACUACGUG
rnacentral:rRNA from 1 species